rnacentral:rRNA from 1 species
AGAGCGAACGCUGGCGGCAGGCCUAAAACAUGCAAGUCGAACGCCCGUAGCAAUACGGGAGUGGCAGACGGGUGAGUAACACGUGGGAACGUGCCCUUUGGUUCGGAACAACACAGGGAAACUUGUGCUAAUACCGGAUAAGCCCUUAGGGGAAAGAUUUAUCGCCAGAGGAUCGGCCCGCGUCUGAUUAGCUAGUUGGUGAGGUAACGCUCACCAAGGCUACGAUCAGUAGCUGGUCUGAGAGGAUGAUCAGCCACACUGGGACUGAGACACGGCCCAGACUCCUACGGGAGCAGCAGUUAGGAAUCUGGACAAUGGGCGCAAGCCUGAUCCAGCCAUGCCGCGUGAGUGAUGAAGGCCUUAGGUGUAAAGCUCUUCGAGCGGGAAGAUAAUGACGGUACCCGCAGAAGAACGCCCCGGACUAACUUCGCGCCAGCAGC